CUUCAGAACCCAGAUUUCACUUUCACAACUUUUGGAGACCAAUAGGUGAGGUUAGAUAUGGUUUGCUUGAUUGUUUUUCUUAUUUCAUUCUUCCUCUUCCUCUUCUUCUUCUCCCUCCCCCACCUUCCUUCUUCUUAAUUUUUGGUUUUUAGAGUUGUUUUUUUUUUUUGUCACCCAGAUUGUCUGUGGGGCUCUAGGAGGGAGGCUUGGCGGCAUUAAGCAGAGGUAGUUUGUCACGUGGCAUACGUGAACAAAGAAUGGAAUUAUUAGUCAUGGCUGGCUGGCUCCAUGUACCCGUAGUUUUUUCAAAAUUCAUUGGGGCUGAGGGUGUGAGAAGUUUAGUUUACGGUCUGCAGGCUUCAUUGCUGUGGGCCCAGGAUGAGGCAGAGCGUCAUGGUCGAAUGUCAUGAUGGAAGAAAGCCGUUCAGCUCUUGGAAGCCAGAAAGCAGAGAGAGAAACACAGUGAGUGAGAGGAAUCAGGGACCGAUAUAGUCCAAGGGGACAUUUCCAGCGACCUGUUUCCUUCAACCACACUCUCCCUGCCUGCAGUUUCCAUUCAUUAGUCCAUUAAAAUUAUUAAUCCAUCAAAUGGGUUAAUUCAUCAAUGAGGUAAUGGCCCUCAUAAUUGAAUCAUCUUUCUUCUGAACACUCCUGCAUUGCCUAAAAUAUGAGCUUUUGGAGUGACAUUAAAGACCCAAACCAAACCCCUGCUAUUAAGCCUCAAGGGAAGAAAGGCAGUUCCUUGUCCCUAGUAGGAGCUUUGAUGAAUACUUGGGUUGUUUUUCAUACCAAUGAAGUGUUUCUCACCUGCAAAAGCUUUGGGGACUGUAUAUAUAUCUUUAUGCCUUUAUACGCUAUUUAUAGAGCAUGUUCCUAAGUAAGGAAUGAUGACCAGUGGUAGCCAGCAAAUGAUUUCUAAAAUAUAUACUGCCAGUUUAUGAUAACCUUGCUUAUUACGAGUAAUAAGGGCACAUGUUUCGUAAGACAGAUCAUAAAAUUUGAAAACCUCAAGAUUUGCCAAUGCUCUCACUGUCUUGAAUUUCUUCUAGAAUUAAAGAAGGGCAAUCACAUAUCAAUGUAGAUCUUUUUUUUUUUUUAGAGAGAGAGAGAGAGAGAGAGAGAGAGAGAGAGAGAGAGAGAGAGAGAAUCUUAAUAUUUAUUUUCUAGUUUUCAGCGGACACAACAUCUUUGUUUGUAUGUGGUGCUGAGGUGCUGUUUGUAUGUGGUGCCAGGCGAGCGCGAUACCGCUUGAGCCACAUCCCCAGCCCUCAAUGUAGAUCUUAAAAGAAUAAAUUGCUGAAAGAGUCGCGGUGGUUUCUUUGUCCAAAGCACAAUAGCGUGUCCAUAAAUCUAAUGAUUGUGAACACUAUUGAAAAUAAAAGGCUUGGACUCUUAUGAAAUGUCAAUGAGCAGGCGCUGAGAUGUCCGGUGACUAAAGUCCAUGCACUGGCACAACAUCCAUGUAACGAAUAAAGCCUUGUUAAGUUGUGAUAGAGCAUUAAGGGCAAUUCAUUCACAGGUUCAAGAAGCCCUGAGUCCCUGGGCUCCAAUCAAGUCCAUUCCCUCAAGAAACUGCUUGAACUUUUUGAGAAGGGUCCAGUCGAGUUGAGCUGUUAAUAAGGUCUCUGUUUUUAGAUCCAUGCCUCUCACAAUAAGGAUGUAUCACCUCUACCCUUUUAACAGCUACCUGUCAUGAAUAUGUUUUUCCUUACAUACUGAGACUACCAACCAACCCAUAUUUUCUUUGUGUUUCAGAUCCAUGAAAAACUUACUGGAAGCUCCUAAUGUGAGCCUGAGACUAAAGAGGGCUGGCAGAACUUCUACUCUAAGCCUGACUAUAAAAAUCCCCAAACUUCCCAGACUUGUUUCAAAUAAGUUUCAUUCUACAACCACUGGCAAACGAAAUUCCUAUAGGACAGCACUAACGGCCCAUUUGUUGAAAAGAAGGUCCUAAAUAGAUUGCAAUUUGUCUCCUUUCACCCAGUUCUGCCCUUGUAUAAGCCUUGCAUCACCACCCUCCACCACACCCUCCUCCAUUAAUAUCCACAGUUAAAAGUGUCCCGUGAAUCCUUUGAAAUUUCAUUUAAAUGUACAAAAAUAUAAUUAUUUCUUCUUCCCCUCCCAUCUUUUAUACAAAUGGUAGCAUUGAUUGACAUUGCUCUAUACCUUGUGCCUUGACAUAAAAAAGGACAAAAGAUAAGAGAUAAUACUGAUAGAUUUAACUAUAUUAAAAUAAAAACUCUUUUAUCUAUCUAAAAAAAAGUCCAUAAAAAUAGUAAAAAUGCUGUCAUGCAUUGAAAGAAGAUAUUUGUAAUGCAUCUACUUGCAGUAUUAUAAAGGAUCUAUGUUUGUAGCUCUCAUAAAUUGAAAGAAAAAAGACAGUUAAAAUUUUUUAACUCAGUUAAAAAUUGGGCUGAAGAGAUGACAGUUAAUUCACAAAGAGAAAAACCCAAAUGCUCUGUAAACCAUUAAAAGAUCCGAGAAAUACAAAUUAAAACCACAAUGAGAAGUCAUUUCACAUCCAUCAGAUUGGCAAAAAUGGAAGCCCGACAAUAUCAGGUGCUGAGGAGGUGAGGCAAUGGGAGUGAGAAUUGUUUUAAUCAUUUGGAAAAUGAUUUGAUUAUAUCUGGUAAUAUUGAGGAGACUUUCUCUUGAUAACCCUGUAAUUACACUCUUAGGCAGAGGCCCUGCAGAAAAACAAGUGCACAUGGAGACAUAUAUAUUUCCCCUUUCUUUUGAACAAAGAAUGCAAAGCAAAACCACAUAACAAGAAACUGAACUUACAUACCAUCAUUGUGGUUACCCUAUAAUGGGAUACUAUACAGCAGUGAAAACUGAUCACAGAGACAUGAAUCAAAAUGAAUGAAAUUUCUGAACAUAAUGUUGAGCAAAAAAACACAUUAUGAAAGAAUACAUAUAAUAUGCCACCUUAAAACUUAAAAACAUGCAACAUAAUACCUUUAAAAAGAUCUAAGAAAACAAACUUAGUCAAAGUAUUUAAAAAUGCCUGGGAAUAAUAAGCACCAAAUUCAGGGUUGUAUCUGGGCAAAGGAAAGCUCUUGAAGAGUGAUCAUAGAGGUUUCAGCCAUAUUUUGCUGAUCUUAAAAUAUAUGCCCAAAAAUUUCUAAGAAAAAACAAUUUUAUGGUAAUUUUUAUUUAUCAAAAUAGGAACUGAAUACAUAGAUAUUUUUAUCAUCCUGUAUUCUUUAUUUAUCCAAAAUAUUUUAAAAUAAAUUAUGU
rnacentral:lncRNA from 1 species